rnacentral:rRNA from 1 species
GACGAACGCUGGCGGUGUGCUUAACACAUGCAAGUCGAACGGUAAGGCCCUUUCGGGGGUACACGAGUGGCGAACGGGUGAGUAACACGUGAGUAACCUGCCCUCAUCUCUGGGAUAACAGUCGGAAACGGUUGCUAAUACUGGAUAUGAGCUUGCAAGGCAUCUUGUGGGUUGGAAAGAUUUUUUUGGUUGGGGAUGGAUUCGCGGCCUAUCAGCUUGUUGGUGAGGUAGUGGCUCACCAAGGCUUCGACGGGUAGCCGGCCUGAGAGGGCGACCGGCCACAUUGGGACUGAGAUACGGCCCAAACUCCUACGGGAGGCAGCAGUGGGGAAUAUUGCACAAUGGACGGAAGUCUGAUGCAGCAACGCCGCGUGCGGGAUGACGGCCUUCGGGUUGUAAACCGCUUUCAAUUGUGACGAAGCUUUUUGUGACGGUAGUAGUAGAAGAAGCACCGGCUAACUACGUG